rnacentral:lncRNA from 1 species
AAAAAGGGGUGUUACAUCUAACCUCUUCAGACUCUUUGGCAAUGACGGUUAUAUCAUAUUUCCAUGGUACUGCCUUAGUACUUUCGUAGGGGAAAGGACUAGGCAUGUAGAUAACCAUGGUUGAUGGGUGAUUAACCGACUGAAUAAUAUCUUUUCUUCGAUAGGUUAUCUCAACUGGCUCUGGUAAAUUGAAAAAUGGCUCAAUU